CUGCUGCCUCCCGUAGGAGUUUGGGCCGUGUCUCAGUCCCAAUGUGGCCGGCCACCCUCUCAGGUCGGCUACUGAUCGUCGCCUUGGUGGGCCUCUACCCCGCCAACCAGCUAAUCAGACGCGGAUCCAUCUCAUACCGCCUCAGCUUUUCACACCGAGACAUGCAUCUCUGUGCGCUUAUGCGGUAUUAGCAGUCAUUUCUAACUGUUAUCCCCCUGUAUGAGGCAGGUUAU
rnacentral:rRNA from 1 species